rnacentral:misc_RNA from 1 species
GAUGAAGAACGCAGCGAAAUGCGAUAAGUAAUGUGGAUUGCAGAAUUCAGUGAAUCAUCGAAUCUUUGAACGCACAUUGCGCCCGGUAGUAUUCUGCCGGGCAUGCCUGUUCGAGCGUCAUUUCAACCAUCAAGCCCCAGCGCUUGUGUUGGGGGCCUGCGGCUGCCGCAGCCCCCUAAAAGCAGUGGCGGGCUCGCUAUCACACCGAGUGCAGUAGUUCAUCUUCUCUCCGGUCUUGUGAGGCGGGUUCCGGCCGUGAAACACCCCACUACAUUCAAGGUUGACCUCGGAUCAGGUAGGAAUACCCGCUGAACUUAAGCAUAUCAAUAAGCGGAGGA